CUUCCUCCAGAGAAUCUCAUCAUCAAGCUAGGAUAGAGACUAGGGGGUGCACUCUCUGCCCAGCCUGAAAAUGAGGGACGUGAAAUUCGCAAACAUAAAUGUUGGCCAAUAGGAUCAUUGGAUCCUUCAUCUAGCCCCUGGCAGCCUAAGACAGUUACCCUACAUUACUGGGAGAAAAGCAUGAAGACUCAGACUUGACACUGACCUCUAGUAGCAGGCAGUUUGUUGCAAAUUUAACAACUAUGCAGAACGUGGUUGUCAUAGCCUUGCCAGCUGCACUAGGUGUCACUGUGUGAACUUCUACUGAAUGAAAGAAUAAAAAAGGAAGAGAGAAGAAAGAGAUAGGGUCACAGCAGCCUUGAACUCCUGGGCUCAAGUGAUACUCCAGCCUCAGCCCCCUGGGUAGCUGGGAUUACAGGUACCAACCACCACGCCUAGCUGUGGGUCACCAUUUAAAAACUGCUGGGCAUGAAGGUCACGAUCAUUUGAGGAAAGAUCAAAGGAAGAACCUUUUAAACUAACUUACCGAGCUUUAUAUUGACCUCUUCUAAUCAGAGCACAAAAGAAACCUGGACCAUGGAAAAGUAUGUGCAUCGUAUAAUGCAAGGGCAAGGGAGAGGUA
rnacentral:lncRNA from 1 species